GAUGAACGCUAGCGGCAGGCUUAAUACAUGCAAGGCAGGGGGCAGCAAUGUCACCGUCGUACGGGUGCGUAACGCGUAUGCAACCUACCUAUCGACUGGGGGAUACGCCCGGGGAAACCCGGAUUAAUACCGCAUAACACAGGGGUCCCGCAUGGGUACUAUUUGUUAAAGAUUUAUCGGUGGUAGAUGGGCAUGCGUUCGAUUAGCUAGUUGGUAUAGGUAACGGCUUACCAAGGCAACGAUCGAUAGGGGAGCUGAGAGGUUGAUCCCCCACACGGGCACUGAGAUACGGGCCCGACUCCUACGGGAGGCAGCAGUAGGGAAUAUUGGGCAAUGGAUGCAAGUCUGACCCAGCCAUGCCGCGUGCCGGAUGAAGGCCCUCAGGGUUGUAAACGGCUUUUAUUCGGGAAGAAGAGCAGGGAUGCGUCCUUGUGUGACGGUACCGAAUGAAUAAGCACCGGCUAACUCCGUG
rnacentral:rRNA from 1 species